rnacentral:lncRNA from 1 species
UUUCCAUUCUAUGCAUUUAGCCACACUUUAGGACCCUGAUUUCUCUCUGGGCUCUAAGAGAGGGUGCCUGAGUGUAGUGGGGAAACUGAGGCCUACAGUAGCCCUGUGGCCGACAGCUGGGGAACCAUGAGGGUACCCUGAUCCUCAGCCCAGAGGCCUGUUGGCUGUGCUGUUUGUUGCUUCUCUGCCCCUGUCUCACUGUCCCUGCUCUGAGUCCCCAGGCCUUUCCUGGACUGCCUUGGUGUCUUGUAGCAAUCCCAACCUGCACACAGCCUUGGUUGGCUCACUGAUUGGCCUUCAGGCAGUUAGAGAUUUCUGGAGGAGGCUGGAGAAGCUGAGGGUUGACUAAGGGUGGUGCUGAGCUGAGGGGACCCUGCCCGGGCUACUGGGGCUCUUGGGAGUGUGUUGGAGGGGGUCCCCCAGACUCUUGUUCAUGACCCCCAGACAGGGGAAGUGUCUUAGUUUGUCAGGGCUGCCAUAAUGAAACACCACAGAGUGGCUCACCGACCUCAGAGACUUAUUUUCUCACAGUUCUGGAGGCUGGAAGUCCAAGAUCAAGGUGCCAACUUGAUUGGGUUUUCCUGAGGCCUCUCUCUCUGGCUUGCAGGUGGGCACCCUUUUGCUGCCUGUUUACAUGGGUAUCUCUCUGUGCCUGUGCACUCCUGGUGUAUCCAAAUUUCCUCUUAAAAAGACACCAUCAGGUUAGAUUAGGGCCCACCCUAAUGGCCACAUUUUAACUUAAUCUUAUCUUUAAAAGCCUAUCUCCAAAUACAGUCAUAUUAUGAAGAAAUAUGAAGUUUAGGACUUCAACAUAUGAAUCUUGUGGGGACACAUUUCAGCAGUAACAGAAAGACAGACGGCAGCAGCAUGAAGCGGGCCGCUGCCGCCGGGGAAACCUCUGCACGGGAGAGCGGCUACAGCCAAAGCCUUUAAUGGGGAGGCGCUCAGCCUACCCUGGGGAGAGGCUGGUGUUGGGUCCUCGUCCCUCUCUCCCACAAGAGGCCCUAGAGUGAGAACUAAAUGCCUGAGGCCGGAAGGCUCUGUGAGCUGAUUAUCCCUGUGGUCUCUGGGGUGAAGGAACAGUCAGCAGGCCCCAGGCACUGUCCUGUCCUUCCCCUGCCUUAUCAGAGCCUCGACUCCCUUCCGCCUCUAGGCUGUGACCCAGGCUCUCCCCAUGAGCAGUGACUUUGAAGGGGGUAACAUCGCCACCUUUGUUUUAGCUGAGCUCUGCAGCUCUCCAUGUACCCCACCUGGCAGGGAGUGGUUUAGAAAUAGCACCGAGAGUUCAAACAUCACUUCUAUUAUUUUUUCCAGGAGAUUUACUUGUCUGACUGAGUUGGUUUAGGCUGAUAUUCUAGUAAAGACUUUCCUCUCUGAGUGCCAUGUGUUUUCUGAUAAAAGCUGAGGGCGGGUAGGGAAGUGGCUCAGAAACUUUCUGGAAGUCAGAAUUGGCCACAGAUGACAAGUAAGUGCUUUGCCUGGCCCUGGAGCCCACCUCCCCAUCAGUCUUUCACGCAGCCCCAUUAGGUGGGCUAGAGAUCAUCUCAGGGUCCUCUGAUGGUGCACUGCCCUCCCCCAGCAUCCUACAUCUCCCUCUGGGGUCAGUAGUUCUGGGUCUUUCACGGCCUCUUGUCCCCCCAGGCCCAGAAGCCAGCAUUGGAGGGGCAGGAAGGAUGGAUGCUUUAGGUCCAGCUGCCUGCUGCCUUCUGCCCAGCCAGGUCCACAGAGUCCUAGGAUUGCAGAGGUUCCCUGGCUUCUUGGAAAAGGGCUAGAAGGCAGCCACCCUGCUUUUCCUGUGGACUUCAUUAGUCUUGGGAACCCAAGGCAGACAAAUCCCAGAAAAGAAGAGAAGGAAAACUGUGCUCACUGAGCUCCUUUAGGCUGAGUGUUGUGCCGGAUGCCUCUGAUAUCUCAUUUAAUCCUCUCAAGAGCCCUGCAAAGCAGGGGUUGUUUUCUCCAUUUUAUAGAUAGGGAAACUGAGACUCAGGGGCUAAGUAACUGAAUCGCACGUUGAGCGAGUGGUUGUGCUGGGAGCGAAGCCUAGGUCUGCAGGCUUUGGAGCUCUGGUCUACUUCCAGUGAAGCUGGCUGUUCCUCCCAGCUUCACUGUGCCCUUGGCCUUUCUUCCCCUUGGACAGUGGAGGGUGGAGGGUGGGAAAGUCAGUGGGGGCUUCCUCCCCUCCUCUUUCCUUUCAUCUCCAGAGACCUCUUUGUUUUCCCUGAUUCCUGGACACACUGGGCUCAGGGCUCCUGACUGACUGGGCUGCAGCUCUCAGAUCUCCAAUGACUAGGAGGGAAUGAAUGGGUUGUCACCUCUUGACCUGUAUCCCCCACCCCCACUACGUCUCCUACCCCAGCAACCACAAUGGCCUGAGGCUAAUUCAGUGCCGUCAUUGUUGACCGUGGAGAACAAUGCUCAGAGACAGGCUGCUGGCGGGACUGGGUGCAGCCACCUGCUCCUCUCCAGCACUGUUUCUCCCAUGCUAGGAAGUUGGGAGAUGACUUUCCAUGUGUGAGAUAUGAGGGUCCUGAGAGGAGGUGUGAGAGGAGGGAGCAAACGGUAAUCUCCCCAUUCCCCCAUAUCCAAACCAUUUCCCAGUGCCAAGCAAGGCUGUGGGUACUAUGGGCUUCCUCUUACUAGGCUGUGGGUCACAUGGCUCCCCCCUCACUAGCUGUGAGACCGUGGGCAAAGUCACUUAGCUUCUCUGCGUCCUAGUCUUUAAUAUAGGGAUUUACUACCUCCUUCACCAAGUAAUUGAGGGGAAAGCUCUUAGCAUAGUGCCUCAUUCCAUAGAAGACAUCAGUUCUCCCUCUUGCCCCUGCUUUCCUGGUAAUUGGCAGGUGCGCUUGAUCUUUUGGGCCAGCUUGUGCUGGGAGGCAAGGUGCUGUGGGGAGGCACAACCUGGGAGAGCCUUUCCUGAGUCCAGCUGGAGCCAGAGAUAAAGGAGGCCUCCCUGCUUCCCCAGCUGUCUUGCUUCGCUUUGCUUUUUGUAACACGGAGGAAGCUGAAGGCAUUGUGAUUAUCGGCUCCGGGAAGAUAAACUUGAAGGGUGACUUAAUGAGCAUUUGUAAACCUAUCGAAGGUUAUCAUUCAGGGCAGAGUGACCGGCGGACACGCGGAAAUGGGUUUAGUAUGCAGCAAAGUGACAUCACCAAGGAGAUGCCUGCGUCCAACAAACCUAGCAUUCUCCAGAGCCCCGUGCCUGACCAGUGCUUGGAGGCUGGAAUGAGGCUGUGAGGCUCCAGCAGCCGUUUUGUGCCACGAGGCAGUAGAAACCUGGGUUCCUGAUGACUGUGGAGCUGCCGAACUAAUCUGGACCUCCAGAUUCCAUACCUGCAAGACACAUGAACAUCUGUCUUAUGCCGUGGAAACAGAAAUCUAGUGGAGGAUUCUGAUCCCUAGGGAAUGUAGGGCCACUGGACCCAAUUGCCCUAUAAUCUUGUGUGGUAUUUCCCUGCCCCUGCUCAACUUCAUUGGAUGGUAAUGUUACAUUUGUUAAGCCACUAAGGUUUUGGGGGUUGUUUAUUAGGCAGUUGUCUAGCCUGAUAACACAAGCCUGAAAGAAGGGCAUUCUUAUCCCUAUUUUUCCCUGGGGGAAAUGGGCUCAGAGAUACUAAGUAACUUGCUAAAGUCACACAGCAAGUAAGUGGCAAAUCCAGAUUUGAGCUCAGGUUAUGUCUUUUCCACUAACCCAGGCUAACAGGAUGAUUGUUCCUGCUUAGGUAUUGCCUUGGUCUUUGUUUCUUGAGGAGUCACAGAAAGAAAGACACAGACCAGGACUGGGAGGUAGGGAAGGAGGGAGCAGCUGGGGGGCAGGUGUGUAGUGGUGCAUCAUAGCAGCAAAGGGAGGUAAAGGUUCUAGGAAGGGGUGGUCAAUUGUGUCUAAUGAGAUCCAGCCAGGUGGAGGAGGAAGAGGGCUGGGAAGAGCCCAUUAAAUUUAAUGACCUCAGUGACAGUUUUAUCUGAGUGAUGGGGCAGAUGCCAGCUUGCAGAAGGUUUGGGAACAAGUCAGUGAUUAUGUUGGUUAAGGGAAGGAGAGAGGAAAAAAAGAGAGAUAGCUUUAAGUGGAAGCCAGGCCAAAGGAAAGCAUUUUGAGAAGGAAAUCAGUGGUUAGGGAGAGGUUAAAAAUAAGAAAGGGAAUCAUGACCUACAUAAUGCAAGGCAUCUGAAUGUGAUGAUUUCCUCCUUUAGGCUUGGUUCUGGUGUGCAUUUCCAGGGCUAAGCUGACUGGCCAGGAAGCAGGGAGCAAAGGGGGUUGGACACAGCCAGCAAAUCACGCAGCAUUAACUGGGCUGCGAGGCCGGAUCCUGAGUGGGCAAGCAGGUGGCAGCUGAAGUAUUGUGAAUCGAGAGCCUGAAAUUCUUCAGGAUCUUCUAAGAUUAUCCAUUUGAUUGGGUCAUGGAAUUAAUGUGGAUAAGCCUAGUUGAUCAACCUGAGUAGAGGGUGCUGUCACCUGCACAACACCUACCACAACUUCCUAGAACCUAGUGGCCGAGCUUGUUAAGUGUCCCCAAAUGCCCAUUCUCUCCUUCCUUUUAGUCAAGGAGCCAUGAAUUUUAGGGAAGAACAUGAUCAUUUAGCUCAGGACCACAGUUCCCAGACUCCCUGCAGCUGGAUGUGGAUGUCUACUCAGUUCUUGCUAAAACGAUGUGUGCAAUUUCCAGAGCACAUCCUUAUAUGGAAGUUAUUUGCAGUGAACAUUGUCUGUUUCCUCCUUUCAAUGAGGUGGAACUGGAAGUGCUGGAGAUGAGCUGCUGUGGCUGUAUGGACAAAGGCAAGAUCCUAUGGGAUGGCCAAGCAACCAGACAGAAGAACUCUUGAGACCUUGAGGAAAAGAACUGCCCGCAACUGCUCUUGACACUCUCUCCCUCUGGCCUGUUGUGUGGGAGAGAAAUAAA